rnacentral:lncRNA from 1 species
CCACCCUCUCCAUCGAGCAUACAUAGAAAGUGUUAAUCUAUCCGGAACAUUGAUCUCCUACUCAAUACUCCUAUGACUAGGAAUAUUUUAAAUCAGGAUUUUUAGGAUUUUAGGUCUCAUAGGUAUGAUCUCAUCAUAAUCCUAAAUCUAUUUUUCUGAUUUAUGGAGUUCAUCAUAAUCAUUACUAAAGUAAGAUGCAGCAUAUGAUGAAAAAUACCUUUUAUUAUUUAAAGAGUCAAUACAUAAGUCUGGAAGAUUACAAGGAAAACCUAUCAAAAUACAAAUCUCGAUUAGCUUGUAGGGCAUAU